rnacentral:rRNA from 1 species
AACGAACGCUGGCGGCAUGCCUAACACAUGCAAGUCGAACGAGACCUUCGGGUCUAGUGGCGCACGGGUGCGUAACGCGUGGGAAUCUGCCCUUGGGUUCGGAAUAACAGUGAGAAAUUACUGCUAAUACCGGAUGAUGUCUUCGGACUAAAGAUUUAUCGCCCAGGGAUGAGCCCGCGUAGGAUUAGCUAGUUGGUGGGGUAAUGGCCUACCAAGGCGACGAUCCUUAGCUGGUCUGAGAGGAUGAUCAGCCACACUGGGACUGAGACACGGCCCAGACUCCUACGGGAGGCAGCAGUGGGGAAUAUUGGACAAUGGGCGCAAGCCUGAUCCAGCAAUGCCGCGUGAGUGAUGAAGGCCUUAGGGUUGUAAAGCUCUUUUACCCGGGAUGAUAAUGACAGUACCGGGAGAAUAAGCUCCGGCUAACUCCGUG